rnacentral:rRNA from 1 species
GAUGAACGCUAGCGGGAGGCCUAACACAUGCAAGCCGAGCGGUAUUGCUUCUUCGGAAAUGGGAGAGCGGCGUAGGGGUGCGGAACACGUGUGCAACCUGCCUUUGUCUGGGGGAUAUCCGUUCGAAAGGAAGAUUAAUACUCCAUAACAUAUUGAUGGGCAUCAAUGAAUAUUGAAUGCUCCGGCGGAUAGAGAUGGGCACGCGCAAGAUUCGCUAGUUGGUGAUGUAACGGCUCACCAAGGCGAUGAUCUUUAGGGGGCCUGAGAGGGUGCUCCCCCACACUGGUACUGAGACACGGACCAGACUCCUACGGGAGGCAGCAGUGAGGAAUAUUGGUCAAUGGGUGCAAGCCUGAACCAGCCAUCCCGCGUGAAGGACGACUGCCCUAUGGGUUGUAAACUUCUUUUGUAUAGGGAUAAACCUACCCUCGUGAGGGUAGCUGAAGGUACUAUAUGAAUAAGCACCGGCUAACUCCGUGCCAGCAGCCGCGGUAAUAC